rnacentral:rRNA from 1 species
CCUACGGGGGGCAGCAGUGAGGAAUAUUGGUCAAUGGUCGGGAGACUGAACCAGCCAAGCCGCGUGAGGGAUGAAGGUACAGAGUAUCGUAAACCUCUUUUGUCAGGGAACAAAGGCGGGGACGUGUCCCCGGAUGAGUGUACCUGAAGAAAAAGCAUCGGCUAACUCCGUGCCAGCAGCCGCGGUAAUACGGAGGAUGCGAGCGUUAUCCGGAUUUAUUGGGUUGAAAGGGUGGGCAGGCGGUCUGUUAAGUCAGCGGUAAAAGCCCGGGGCUCAACCCCGGCCCGCCGUUGAAACUGGCAGUCUCGAGUUGGAGAGAAGUAUGCGGAAUGCGCGGUGUAGCGGUGAAAUGCAUAGAUAUCGCGCAGAACUCCGAUUGCGAAGGCAGCAUGCCGGCUCCACACUGACGCUGAGGCACGAAAGCGUGGGUAUCGAACAGGAUUAGAUACCCUGGUAGUC